rnacentral:rRNA from 1 species
CUUGUUGGUGAGGUAAUGGCUCACCAAGGCGACGAUCAGUAGCUGGUCUGAGAGGAUGAUCAGCCACAUUGGGACUGAGACACGGCCCAAACUCCUACGGGAGGCAGCAGUGGGGAAUAUUGGACAAUGGGCGAAAGCCUGAUCCAGCCAUGCCGCGUGAGUGAUGAAGGCCUUAGGGUUGUAAAGCUCUUUUACCCGGGAAGAUAAUGACGGUACCGGGAGAAUAAGCCCCGGCUAACUUCGUGCCAGCAGCCGCGGUAAUACGAAGGGGGCUAGCGUUGUUCGGAAUCACUGGGCGUAAAGCGCACGUAGGCGGAUUCUUAAGUCAGGGGUGAAAUCCCGAGGCUCAACCUCGGAACUGCCUUUGAUACUGGGGAUCUUGAGUCCGGGAGAGGUGAGUGGAACUGCGAGUGUAGAGGUGAAAUUCGUAGAUAUUCGCAAGAACACCAGUGGCGAAGGCGGCUCACUGGCCCGGUACUGACGCUGAGGUGCGAAAGCGUGGGGAGCAAACAGGAUUAGAUACCCUGGUAGUCCACGCCGUAAACGAUGGAUGCUAGCCGUUAGACAGCUCGCUGUUUAGUGGCGCAGUUAACGCUUUAAGCAUCCCGCCUGGGGAGUACGGUCGCAAGAUUAAAACUCAAAGGAAUUGACG